CAGAGAGUAAUUGCUGCCUGUCAUAUUUUGCAUAAUAGCUGGAGUCUAGGCGUUAUUUGCUUAUAAAGACGGCUCUCGUUACUGUUACUGNGGGGGGUCACUUUACUAAGUGGGCUUAGCUAGCGCCUCUGAUCUGUUUUUCUUUUUAAUACUAACUCAGAGUUGUUUCUCUGCAGGCGUUAAUCCCAGCUGGUGCUCUGUUAUUUUGUUAUUUUGCUGCUUGUCAUUUUUAAAGCGGAGAGUAAUUGCUGCCUGUCAUAUUUUGCAUAAUAGCUGGAGUCUAGGCGUUAUUUGCUUAUAAAGACGGCUCUCGUUACUGUUACUGAAGGUUUUAUUCCAGAUACUAUUAUUUACUCCAGCAAAUAGUAAGUAGUAAAAAUUAAAAUAACAGAAACCAGGGACGUUGGAAAUCCCAGGAGAAACAACAGGAACACCUCGGUCGGACAAGCGCUUCGGUCCAGCUUGGUCGCUCCAGGAUUUCACGCUUCAGCUCCACCAGCCCUUUUUUCUGGGAACCCCAAAUUCCCGGCAGAACGAACGUGCCUGCAGCAGAUACACUGCAGCAUCAAACCUUUGGCCGUGCCACCACCACUGGCUGCCCCCAACCGUCACCGCUGCACCGGCAGGAGCCCAAGCGACUGCCACUCCCUUGGCCGGUGGCACGUCCAACAAAACCCCCGACGCCGCCAGGACCACGGGGACACAGUGGAGACAAAGACGAGCUGCUGCGAGGCUGGACACCGCAGCAGCACGCCAAGCACCAAAUCGAGGAACAGACGGCUGGCUGCUGGAGACGACGCCACCCACUCCUUUGCAGCAGCUUUGUACAUCGCACCAACCACCUGACCAGAUAUAAACAGGUCCCAAAGGACGGAAAAAGCGAGAGCAGGGCUGAAACAAAAGAAAAAAAAAAACAUCAGAAACUGUACCGAGCACUGUAACUCGCACCCAAGCAUCUGGAACAGCAAUAAAGGACAAAACCAAAUGCCUUGGGAGAGGCUUUGAGGGGUCAGAGAGGACCUGGGAGGUUUGGAGCAGAGUCCUUGGGGAAAUCCUGGCUGGCAGCGCAGAGCAGUGGGUCAGCGAGGCCACAGGAAGGGCUCUGGGGGAGCUGGGGGGGGGUCCGAAGNCCAAAGGACGGAAAAAGCGAGAGCAGGGCUGAAACAAAAGAAAAAAAAAAACAUCAGAAACUGUACCGAGCACUGUAACUCGCACCCAAGCAUCUGGAACAGCAAUAAAGGACAAAACCAAAUGCCUUGGGAGAGGCNNNNNNNNNNNNNNNNNNNNNNNNNNNUGUCUCCAUCUGGCACCCAUAACAGAUGUAAACAGGUCCCAAAGGACGGAAAAAGCGAGAGCAGGGCUGAAACAAAAGAAAAAAAAAAACAUCAGAAACUGUACCGAGCACUGUAACUCGCACCCAAGCAUCUGGAACAGCAAUAAAGGACAAAACC
rnacentral:lncRNA from 1 species